GCUUCAUGGCUAAGUGGUUAAGCGUGGGGUUCCGAACCUAAGGUCCUGGGUUCGAAUCUCGGUGAAGACU
rnacentral:tRNA from 1 species